GGGGGCUGUACAUGCAGCUCUCAGCAAAUUUUACGAGAUCCUUCGGUCGAGGAAGACGAGAAGCCAGACCUGUAAAUGUUAUAUGAUGCAACUCAACUUUAGCAGCAAUGUUAGCAGAUAUCUUUCUGAUGUUGGUAAAAGGAGGGUAAAUCAAUCCCUUAUCAUAGUUUUCCUGACUCACUUGGGCAGCCAGAGCCGCAGCUGGAAAGAGAAAAAAACCUGUUAAAUCGAGCUCUGACCCGGCAAAACUAAUACUCGACAUGCGUUGGACAGGGGCUGCCAGGAGCAUGUCAUCGUGCACACGAAUCGUGCCCGACAUGAUCAGACCCAAGCCAAAUCCAGGGAAUAUGUAAGCAUUGUUGGCCUGAAUGACAUUAGGAAGAGAAAGCAAGCU